GACGAACGCUGGCGGCGUGCCUAAUACAUGCAAGUAGAACGCAGUUGCGAACGGGUGAGUAACGCGUAGGUAACUGCCUCAUAGCGUGGGAUAACUAUUGGAAACGUUAGCUAAUACCGCAUACUUUGAGAUGGACCUGCGUUGUAUUUGCUAGUUGGUGAGGUAAAGGCUCACCAAGGCGACGAUACAUAGCCGACCUGAGAAGGUGAUCGGGCACAAUUGGACGUAGACACUGCCCAGACUCCUAGGGGAGGCAGCAGUGGGGAAUCUUCGGCAAUUGACGGAAGUCUGACCGAGCAAAGCCGGGUGAGUGAAGAAGGUUUUCGGAUCGUAAAGCUCUGUUGUUAGAGGAGCGGUACCUAACCAGAAAGGGACGGCUAACUACGUGCCAGCAGCCGCGGUAAUAC
rnacentral:rRNA from 1 species